rnacentral:misc_RNA from 1 species
GUGAAUCAUCAAAUUUUUGAACGCAUAUUGCACUCUCUGGUAUUCCGGAGAGUAUGCCUGUUUGAGGGUCAGUUAAAUAAAAAUCGGUGUUUUGUUGCCGCUUUGCGUAGUGACGCAUCGGGUUUGGGUCGUCUUGCCUUCGGUUAAGUGACCUAAAAUUUUGCAUGAUUUUUUUCGAACGUAUUUAAAUGAUUUUACGUACGUUUGCGAUAUAGAAUACUAGGUGUGGUCAUCCUCAUGAUUCGUGUCGAUAAUUUUUCAUCAAAAUGACCUC